rnacentral:tRNA from 1 species
GCACCGGUGGUGUAAUGGCGUAGAGCAUUCCCGCCCGGAGGGAGGUGCGGGUUCGAGUCCCGCCUGGCGCU